AGAGUUUGAUCCUGGCUCAGGACGAACGCUGGCGGCAUGCCUAACACAUGCAAGUCGAACGGAAUAAGACUGGUCGUAGCGAUACUUUCGGUCUUAUUUAGUGGCGAACGGGUGAGUAACACGUGAGCAACCUGCCUUUUACACAGGGAUAACAGCCGGAAACGGCUGCUAAUACCGGAUAAGACCACACCGGGGCAUCUCGGAGGGGUCAAAGCGUUUAGCGGUAAAAGAUGGGCUCGCGUCCCAUUAGCUAGUUGGUGAGAUAACAGCCCACCAAGGCGACGAUGGGUAGCCGACUUGAGAGAGUGAUCGGCCACAUUGGAACUGAGACACGGUCCAGACUCCUUCGGGAGGCAGCAGUGGGGAAUAUUGGGCAAUGGAGGAAACUCUUACCCAGCAAUGCCGCGUGAAUGAAGAAGGCCUUCGGGUUGUAAAGUUCUUUUAUUGAUGAUAAAGCAAGUGAUAUUAGUCAAUGAAUAAGCCCCGGCUAACUACGUGCCAGCAGCCGCGGUAAUACGUAGGGGGCAAGCGUUGUCCGGAAUUACUGGGCGUAAAGGGUGCGCAGGCGGCUUGGUUAGUCAGAAGUGAAAGUUUGCAGCUUAACUGUAAAAGUGCUUUUGAUACUGCCUGGCUUGAGUCUCGGAGGGGUAAGCGGAAUUCCUAGUGUAGCGGUAAAAUGCGUAGAGAUUAGGAAGAACACCGGCGGCGAAGGCGGCUUACUGGACGAGUACUGACGCUCAUGCACGAAAGCGUGGGAAGCAAACAGGAUUAGAUACCCUGGUAGUCCACGCUGUAAACGAUGAAUACUAGCUGUUGGGGCAACUCAGUAGCGCAGUUAACACAUUAAGUAUUCCGCCUGGGGAGUACGCACGCAAGUGUAAAACUCAAAGGAAUUGACGGGGACCCGCACAAGCAGCGGAGCAUGUGGUUUAAUUCGAUGCAACGCGAAGAACCUUACCAGGCCUUGACAUCCUUUGACAGUCUAAGAGAUUAGAUCUUCCUUCGGGACAAAGUGACAGAUGGUGCAUGGUUGUCGUCAGCUCGUGUCGUGAGAUGUUGGGUUAAGUCCCGCAACGAGCGCAACCCCUGUGGUCAGUUGCCAUCAUUCAGUUGGGCACUCUGGCUAGACUGCCCGUGAAAACGGGAGGAAGGUGGGGAUGACGUCAAAUCAGCAUGCCUCUUACGGCCUGGGCUACACACGUGCUACAAUGGUCAGAACAAAGAGUUGCGAGACUGCGAAGUUAAGCUAAUCUCAAAAAUCUGGUCUCAGUUCAGACUGCAGGCUGCAACCCGCCUGCACGAAGUAGGAGUUGCUAGUAAUCGCGGAUCAGAAUGCCGCGGUGAAUGCGUUCCCGGGUCUUGUACACACCGCUCGUCACACCAUGAGAGUCGGUAACACCCAAAAUCAGUGAGCUAACCGCAAGGAGGCAGCUGCUUAAGGUGGGAUCGGUAAUUGGGGUGAAGUCGUAACAAGGUAACC
rnacentral:rRNA from 1 species